CGGUGACAAAAAAAGAAAAAUGAUGACCCUUCUCAACUACCCUCUCCCAGACUUGGAUGUCACCUUGCAAGAAGUGAGCCGUGUCCUGCAGCUCACUUUAGGUCCUGACCUUUACCCAGAGUUCAAAAGUACGUUGGAACAGCAGAGGGAUCUGCUUGAAGAGGCCCAGGACAAGUUGUCCGCUGGGGCUUCAGGCCAAGAGAAUUGGGUGACUAAUCAGUUCAAGAGAAGUCUGCUGUCUUGCACUGAGCCCCUGCCAACCUCCACUGCCCUCCCUGUUGUUCUUCCUCCGUCAAAAGAAAACAAAUGUACCCAAGUGGGGAGGGCAGCCGCUCUACUUUGGGCAGCGGCAAAGCUGUACAGUGAGCCCCUGCUACUGCAGGGAAACGUGCCCAUGGAGCGCACACAGCAGUCUGAGGUAUUCGCCGCCACCCGGAUUCCUGGAAGGAUUCACGAUGAGAUCAAGGUCUACCCAGACAGCCUCCAUGCCAUCAUCACCUGUGUUGGAGGAGUGUUCCCUGUGGACAUACUGGAGCGUCCCAGCACUGGUGGGCCGGUUUCUGCUCGUCAGUUCAUUGACAUCUACAACCAGCUGGUUCAGGUGAUGGACCAACCCAGUGCAGGAAAACAGAAAGAUCCCUCUGCCA
ensembl:lncRNA